CAUCAAUUGUUUGUGAUCUUGGGUUCCACUGAGCCUCACAAGCAGAGACCCGAAUCACACGUUCGUCUGACUCUGCUGAGGCAUCCUCAACAUGAAUGCUAGCACCUGUCUCAAAUCCAAUGUGGCAUCAUUGGAAUUCUUCUUCCCAAUUACCCCACCAAUUUUCCCUGCAGAGCAUAAAAUUUUCAUAGAAAACUCAGCUGAAUGUUCCCCACCAUGUCCUGAAGUAGCACCAUUAAAGCCAUCUGGCCUAAAUCCUGUGGGCUGACUGCCAUAUCCCCCCAUCCACGGCCUGGGAGGCAAAUUUUGGGAAGAAGAAUUCCAAUGAUGCCACAUUGGAUUUCCUGGUGGAUGCAUAUUUGUCAUGGGACCACCAGGAGGAUGAAAAUUUUGGCCACUGUAAGGCAUAGGCACACUUGGAGGUUUGUCUUUUCGGGGAUUUUGAUGCAAUAGAGUGGAUACUUCAUAUAGAGCC
rnacentral:misc_RNA from 1 species